CCUACGGGGGGCUGCAGUGGGGAAUAUUGGACAAUGGGCGAAAGCCUGAUCCAGCCAUGCCGCGUGUGUGAAGAAGGCCUUCGGGUUGUAAAGCACUUUCAGUGGGGAAGAAAGCCUUGGGGCUAAUACCCUCGAGGAAGGACAUCACCCACAGAAGAAGCACCGGCUAACUCCGUGCCAGCAGCCGCGGUAAUACGGAGGGUGCGAGCGUUAAUCGGAAUUACUGGGCGUAAAGCGCGCGUAGGCGGUCUGAUAAGCCGGUUGUGAAAGCCCCGGGCUCAACCUGGGAACGGCAUCCGGAACUGUCAGGCUAGAGUGCAGGAGAGGAAGGGAGAAUUCCCGGUGUAGCGGUGAAAUGCGUAGAGAUCGGGAGGAAUACCAGUGGCGAAGGCGGCCUUCUGGACUGACACUGACGCUGAGGUGCGAAAGCGUGGGUAGCAAACAGGAUUAGAUACCCCAGUAGUC
rnacentral:rRNA from 1 species